rnacentral:rRNA from 1 species
GCGUAACAUUAGCUAGAUGGAGAGGUAACGGCUCACCAUGGCUACGAUGUUUAGGGGAACUGAGAGGUUGACCCCCCACACUGGAACUGAGACACGGUCCAGACUCCUACGGGAGGCAGCAGUGAGGAAUAUUGGACAAUGGAUGGAAAUCUGAUCCAGCCAUGCCGCGUGCUGGAAGAAGGUCCUAUGGAUUGUAAACUGCUUUAGUGCGGGAGCAAUAAGGUCCACGAGUGGACCGAUGGGAGUACCGCAAGAAUAAGCAUCGGCUAACUCCGUGCCAGCAGCCGCGGUAAUACGGGGGAUGCAAGCGUUAUCCGGAUUUAUUGGGUUUAAAGGGUGCGUAGGCGGUCUGUCAAGUCGGCGGUGAAAACAGCAUGCUAAACAUGGUGCUUGCCGUCGAGACUGGUGGGCUUGAAUGUGGAUGAUGCCGGCGGAAUGUGUAAAGUAGCGGUGAAAUGCAUAGAUAUUACACAGAAGGUCGAUUGCGAAAGCAGCUGGCAAAGGCACUAUUGACGCUGAGGCACGAAAGUGCGGGGAUCGAACAGGAUUAGAUACCCUGGUAGUCCGCACAGUAAACGAUGAUAACUAACUGUCGGCGAUACACAGUCGGUGGUAAAGAGAAAUCGAUAA